AUACGUAGGGGGCGAGCGUUGUCCGGAAUGAUUGGGCGUAAAGGGCGCGUAGGCGGCCCGGUAAGUCUGGAGUGAAAGUCCUGUUUUUAAGAUGGGAAUUGCUUUGGAUACUGUCGGGCUUGAGUGCAGGAGAGGUAAGUGGAAUUCCCAGUGUAGCGGUGAAAUGCGUAGAGAUUGGGAGGAACACCAGUGGCGAAGGCGACUUACUGGACUGUAACUGACGCUGAGGCGCGAAAGUGUGGGGAGCAAACAGGAUUAGAUACCCUGGUAGUCCACACUGUAAACGAUGAAUACUAGGUGUAGGGGGUAUCGACUCCCUCUGUGCCGCAGUUAACACAAUAAGUAUUCCGCCUGGGGAGUACGGCCGCAAGGUUGAAACUCAAAGGAAUUGACGGGG
rnacentral:rRNA from 1 species